rnacentral:rRNA from 1 species
GACAUAGGUCGCAAACGUUAUCCGGAAUUAUUGGGCGUAAAGGAUGCGUAGAUGGUUCAGUAAGUUACUGGUGGGAAAUCGAGGCUCAACCUCGUGGAAGUCAGUAAUACUGUUGAACUUGAGUGCAGGAGAGGUUAACGGAACUUUAUGUGGAGCGGUAAAAUGCGUAGAUAUAUAAAAAGAACAUCAAUAUGGCGAAGGCAGUUAACUAUUCUGUUACUGACAUUGAGGCAUGAAAGCGUGGGGAGCAAAACGG